GAAAAGAAACUAACAAGGAUUCCCCUAGUAGCGGCGAGCGAAGCGGGAAGAGCCCGGGAUGAAAAUCUCUUCGGAGAGUUGUAGUCUGAGCUCCCUUGGGCGGUCAGUGUGGGUAAAUCGUCUGGGAUGACGUGCCAUGGAGGGUGAGAGCCCCGUCCACCCCACACAGGACCCGCCCGUACGAGGGCGCUUCAACCGAGUCGGGUAGCUUGGGAAUGCUGCUCCAAAUGGUGGUAAAUCUCAUCAAAGGCUAAAUAACGGUGGGAGACCGAUAGCGAACAAGUACCGUGAGGGAAAGAUGGAAAGAACUUUGAAAAGAGAGUGAAAAGCGCUUGAAACCGUCACGGGGGAAGCGAAUUGCGUGAGUGAUGGCGUGCACUGUUCAGCUCAAAAUGUGGAGUGUAUUCUGUGCGCGCCGGGCGUGUGUGGCUGGGGUGCGUGCGAACUUGGCACGCGUUCCCUGGUGAGGGCUCCCUGCCCGUCAGGUGAGGACACACGCGAAAUGACGCAAUACGACCCGUCUUGAAACACGGACCAAGGAGUCUAGCACGGCUGCGAGUCGAAGGGUGUGAAAACCCAGAGGGCGCAGUGAAAGCGAAAGAAAGCAAAUUGGGGAGGCGUUGCGGUUCUACCAAAAUGUCCUACCUCGAGCACCUGUGCUGGGACCCGAAAGAUGGUGAACUAUGCCGGAGUAGGGCAAAGCCAGAGGAAACUCUGGUGGAGGCUCGUAGCGAUGCUGACGUGCAAAUCGCUCGUCGAACUUGGGUAUAGGGGCGAAAGACUAAUCGAACCAUCUAGUAGCUGGUUCCCUCCGAAGUUUCUCUCAGGAUAGCGGGCCGACGACAUGUUGUUUUGUGCGGUAAAGCGAAUGAUUAGUGCAUUUGGGGGCCGAAGGCCUUCAGGCGAUUCUCAAACUUUAAAUGCGCAAGGGGGCGGCUGCUUAAUUGAGCCUGCUCUUUGAAAAACGUCGGCCCUGUGGGCCACUUUUGGUAAGCAGAACUGGCGAUAAGGGAUGAACCUUAAGCGCGGUUAAGGCGCCGUAUUGCCCGCUUAUAGACCCCACAAAAGGUGUUGAUUCAUCCAGACAGCAGGACGGUGGCCAUGGAAGUCGGAAUCCGCUAAGGAGUGUGUAACAACUCACCUGCCGAAUGAAUUAGCCCUGAAAAUGGAUGGCGCUUAAGCGGGCAGCCGACACCGCGCCGUUCGGGCGAGACGAAGCCCGAAUGAGUAGGAGGGCGUGGCGGUCAGUGACGCAGGCGUGGGUGCAGACCCCGCUGAAACGGCCGCUAGUGCAGAUCUUGGUGGUAGUAGCAAAUAUUCAAGCGAGAUCCUUGAAGGGCGAAGCGGGGAAGGGU
rnacentral:rRNA from 1 species